rnacentral:misc_RNA from 1 species
UUGAAUGAAACUUCUGGCUGGGAUGCUGUUUGCUGGCCCUUCGGGGUAAUGUGCACGCUUCUGGUCAUUUGUUUCUUUUGUUCCACCUGUGCACUGCCUGUAGUCACAUACCUUUGUGACUAUGAUAUGUUUACAUGCACUUAUUUAUAUGUAUGUUAGUUGGCUUGUAAAUAACAUUUUA